AGGAACCCGACGUCCAUAGAGCUUGUCAAGCCUGCUGAUAUCAGCAGUGCAGGCGAGGGAUCAAGGGGUAACUCACGCUGGCCUCGGGGACCCACUGACAGCUGAGCUAUUUCUUCACUGCACAAAGCGGAGAGAUCACGAACUCCAACCAGCUCCCUGGAGGCACAGCCCCCUGAGAUACCCCAUGAUAAAGAUGCUUGAUUCUCCUUACUUGCCCUGAUCAGAGGAUAAAUGGGAAACUGAAGCUAAGAGAAGUUAACUGAAAUGCCCAGUGUCACACAUGAAGUCACUGUCAGAACCAGGAUUUGGACACAGGCCUCUUGUCUUCCAUUUUUACAGGUGCCAAAUCUGAAGAAUUGUCCCAGACUAAGAUGUCAGAGGUGGUUUUGGAACAAAUUCAUAAUUUAAAUAAUAAUAAGUCACCAGAACCAGAUGGUAUUCACCCAAGAGUUUGAAGGAAUUCAAAUAUGAAAUUGCAGAGCUGCUA